rnacentral:rRNA from 1 species
UACGGAGGGGGCUAGCGUUGUUCGGAAUUACUGGGCGUAAAGCGCACGUAGGCGGAUCAGUCAGUUAGAGGUGAAAGCCCAGGGCUCAACCCUGGAACUGCCUUUAAUACUGCUGGUCUGGAGUCCGAGAGAGGUGAGUGGAAUUCCGAGUGUAGAGGUGAAAUUCGUAGAUAUUCGGAGGAGCACCAGUGGCGAAGGCGGCUCACUGGCUCGAUACUGACACUGAGGCACGAAAGCGUGGGGAGCAAACAGG